UGGGGAAUUUUGGACAAUGGGGGCAACCCUGAUCCAGCCAUCCCGCGUGUGCGAUGAAGGCCUUCGGGUUGUAAAGCACUUUUGGCAGGGAAGAAACAGCCUGGGAUAAUACUCCGGGCGACCGACGGUACCUGCAGAAUAAGCACCGGCUAACUACGUGCCAGCAGCCGCGGUAAUACGUAGGGUGCAAGCGUUAAUCGGAAUUACUGGGCGUAAAGCGUGCGCAGGCGGUUCGGAAAGAAAGGUGUGAAUCCCAGGGCUUAACCUUGGAACUGCACUUUAACUACCGAGCUAGAGUACGUCAGAGGGGGGUAGAAUUCCACGUGUAGCAGUGAAAUGCGUAGAGAUGUGGAGGAAUACCGAUGGCGAAGGCAGCCCCCUGGGAUGAUACUGACGCUCAUGCACGAAAGCGUGGGGAGCAAACAGGAUUAGAUACCCUGGUAGUCCACGCCCUAAACGAUGUCAACUAGCUGUUGGGGUUUAUUAACCUUAGUAGCGCAGCUAACGCGUGAAGUUGACCGCCUGGGGAGUACGGUCGCAAGAUUAAAACUCAAAGGGGAUUGACGGGGGUCAUAGCUGUUUUCCUG
rnacentral:rRNA from 1 species